rnacentral:misc_RNA from 1 species
CCGAGUUUACAACUCCCAAACCCAAUGUGAACGUUACCAAACUGUUGCCUCGGCGGGGUCACGCCCCGGGUGCGUCGCAGCCCCGGAACCAGGCGCCCGCCGGAGGGACCAACCAAACUCUUUCUGUAGUCCCCUCGCGGACGUUAUUCUUACAGCUCUGAGCAAAAAAUUCAAAAUGAAUCA